GGAGGCGGCCGAGCCGCAGUGGAGAGAGACCUGGGUGGCGGAGGCUGCGGCGCGGGCGGCCUCCACCUCCUCCAGGGUUCCCCGACGCGCUGCCCUCGUUUUAAUGCGCAGCGACUUCGGGUCAUCUCUCCUUUGCUUCUCGUAGGAGUCGCAGUUCCAGGAGCAACAGCCUAGAAGAGGACGCGGUCCCCGCACAGAGGCUUCAGCACCAUCCCCCCGACCAUUAGGCAGCGGGAUGUCUGUGGUCGGCAUUGACCUCGGCUUUCUCAACUGCUACAUCGCGGUAGCGAGAAGUGGCGGCAUCGAAACCAUCGCCAAUGAGUACAGCGACAGGUGUACCCCAGCCUGUAUAUCUUUGGGAUCAAGAACGCGAGCCAUUGGAAAUGCAGCUAAGAGCCAGAUAGUCACGAAUGUAAGAAAUACAGUUCAUGGUUUCAAAAAGCUUCAUGGGCGAUCAUUUGAUGAUCCUGUUGUGCAAACUGAAAGGAUCAGGCUUCCCUAUGAGCUGCAGAAGAUGUCUAAUGGAAGUGCAGGAGUUAAGGUGCGAUACCUAGAAGAAGAGAGACCUUUUGCAAUCGAGCAAGUUACUGGAAUGCUGUUGGCUAAGCUUAAAGAGACUUCAGAAAAUGCUUUGAAGAAACCAGUGGCUGACUGUGUGAUUUCAAUUCCGAGCUUUUUCACUGAUGCUGAGAGAAGAUCUGUGAUGGCUGCAGCCCAGGUUGCAGGCUUAAAUUGUUUAAGGCUAAUGAAUGAAACUACUGCAGUUGCACUGGCAUAUGGAAUUUAUAAACAGGAUCUUCCUCCGUUAGAUGAGAAACCAAGAAAUGUAAUAUUUAUUGAUAUGGGACAUUCUGCCUACCAGAUCUCAGUUUGUGCUUUUAACAAAGGAAAACUUAAAGUCUUGGCUACUACCUUUGAUCCAUAUUUGGGUGGCAGGAACUUUGAUGAGGUUUUAGUAGACUACUUCUGUGAUGAGUUCAAGACAAAAUAUAAGAUAAAUGUAAAAGAAAACUCUCGGGCCUUGUUGCGCUUAUAUCAGGAAUGUGAAAAACUAAAGAAGCUAAUGAGUGCAAAUGCAUCAGACCUUCCACUGAACAUUGAGUGUUUCAUGAAUGACCUUGAUGUUUCUAGUAAAAUGAACAGGGCUCAGUUUGAACAAUUAUGUGCUUCCCUCUUAGCCAGAGUUGACCCACCAUUAAAAGCAGUAAUGGAACAAGCUAACCUACAACGUGAAGACAUAAGUAGUAUAGAAAUUGUAGGUGGAGCAACACGAAUUCCUGCUGUGAAGGAACAAAUCACUAAAUUCUUUCUUAAAGACAUAAGUACCACAUUAAAUGCUGAUGAAGCUGUUGCAAGAGGGUGUGCAUUACAGUGUGCGAUUCUCUCACCAGCAUUUAAAGUGCGUGAAUUUUCCAUAAUAGACCUUGUUCCCUAUUCAGUCACAUUAAGAUGGAAGACCUCUUUUGAAGAUGGGACUGGGGAAUGUGAAGUAUUCUGUAAGAACCAUCCUGCCCCAUUCUCAAAAGUCAUUACUUUCCACAAGAAAGAACCAUUUGAACUAGAAGCAUUUUAUACUAAUUUACAUGAAGUGCCUUAUCCAGAUCCAAGAAUUGGGAGCUUCACUAUUCAGAAUGUUUUCCCACAGUCUGAUGGUGAUAGUUCCAAAGUUAAGGUUAAAGUUCGUAUUAACAUCCAUGGAAUCUUCAGUGUGGCUAGUGCAUCAGUAAUUGAGAAGCAGAAUAUAGAAGGGGAUCACAGUGAUGUUCCUAUGGAGACAGAAACUUCUUUUAAGAAUGAAAACAAAGAUGAUGUGGAUAAAAUGCAGGUUGACCAGGAAGAAGAGGGUCAUCAAAAAUGUCAUGCUGAACACACUCCAGAAGAAGAAAUUGAUCAUACAGGAACCAAAACAAAGUCUGUACCCUCAGAUAAACAAGAGCGAUUAAACCAGACCAUUAAAAAAGGAAGAGUCAAGAGUAUUGAUCUACCUAUCCAGAGUAGCCUGUGUAGGCAAUUGGGCCAAGAUCUUCUCAACAUCUACAUUAAAAAUGAGGGGAAGAUGAUAAUGCAGGACAAAUUAGAGAAAGAAAGAAAUGAUGCGAAGAAUGCUGUUGAAGAAUAUGUAUAUGAUUUUAGGGACAAGCUUGGCACUGUCUAUGAAAAAUUCAUCACUCAAGAAGACUUGAGAAAACUGUCUGCAAUAUUGGAAGGCACAGAAAAUUGGCUUUAUGAAGAAGGAGAGGACCAAGCUAAACAGAUUUAUGUGGAUAAGCUUCAAGAACUAAAGAAAUAUGGCCAGCCAAUUCAAAUGAGGUACAUGGAACAUGAAGAGAGACCAAAAGCUUUAAACGACUUGGGAAAAAAGAUCCAACUUGUCAUGAAAGUUAUAGAAGCAUACAGAAACAAGGAUGAAAGGUACGAUCAUUUGGAUCCUGCUGAAAUGGAAAAAGCUGAAAAAUAUAUCAGUGAAGCCAUGAGUUGGCUGAACAGUAAGAUGAAUGCACAGAACAAACUAAGUCUCACUCAAGAUCCUGUAGUGAAAGUUUCAGAAAUAGUUGCAAAGUCAAAGGAACUGGAUCAUUUCUGUAACCCCAUAAUUUAUAAGCCCAAACCAAAAGUAGAGGUUGCUGAAGACAAGGCAAAAGCUAAUAGUGAACACAACGGACCAGUGGAUGGACAGAGUGGGACUGAAACUAAACCAGAUACAACAAAAGACAGCACACAGCAUACUAAAUCUUCUGGAGAGAUGGAAGUGGACUAAGUCUUAAUUUCACCUUCACGUAAUUCAAACAGUGCAAGUAACCACAGGGUCCAUUCUUCUUCUUUUACAUCUGGUACACACAACAGAUGUUUAGUUGUUCUUAACCCACUUUUUGUCAUUUGUUUUUUGGAGUAGUUUUGAAAAGUGUUUUAUAUUGAGUGCACCUCUGUUCAUUUCCAUUGCUGCUUAAUGUGAAGCUUUAGCUGAAUAUACAUUAACAAGUCAGUUUAAGCUUUCCUAAUAUAUUUUAUGUCAAACAUGCAAGAUUGAUAAGUAGUUGGCAACCUUAUUUAAAGCUUCUACUUGGAUAAACCUCAGCUCUUUUGUUCAGGAAAGGAUAAUAUAUUGUGCUACUGUUGAAGAAGCAUAGAUUUAAUUGCAUCAUUAUUUUGAAAAACAAAUAUUGAAACUGAUGCGGUUUAAAGCCACCAAGUCACUGACCUUUUUCUAGUUAUGGUAUUGUUAUAAUUUAAAUAUUAAAACAAGAGGUUCCUUGACAAAUUAGUCCAUCUCGUUGGUGUGCCGUGAGAACUUCAAAACUUUUUCAUCAUAUAAAUGAACUAAAUCACACAUUGAAAUGGAAAAUGCACAAUUUUAUGUUAAGAUGACACCAGCAGUUAGCUUCAUUAGUCAUGUGGAUUGAUGUUUCUCAGAGUAAUUCAGUGUCUUUAGCACUUGAAACUUCUGAUCUACUUGUCCUGAAGACCAGCUGCUGCUAAAGUGAUGCUGGCCCCAAAAUGAUGAAGCAUUUUUGAUGAAAAUACCUUCAUGUUAAGGGGGAAAUGCUGUUGACCUACUCAGACAUGCAUCUGUGAUGUUGAUAACCUUGUUUUAGUUUUAAUAGUUGUUUUGGUCUUCUUAAUUGAUUUUGUUAAUGUGUUAACAGAGGGCAGGGAGAAACGGCACAAUGUGUAUUGCAUUAUAUACAUUUAUCACUGAUUUACUUAAUGUUAACAUAUAAACACUAAAUAAGCAGUAAUACUUGAAAAGAAGCACUUAUAACAUAGGUCUUAGGAAAUACUGCUUGUAAUAAACUUAACUGUGUUACACAUCAACAGGCAAAAUAUAGAAUGUUACAUAGUGUAAUAUGAUAUGGUGUGAUUAAAUUAUAGUUCCUGCUGUUACGUUACCUGUUCAGACCUUGGCUCCAGUUUUGGUGCUUCAUAUAUAAAUUAUAUGGGUUGAGGGGCUGUGAAAUUAAGAUAUUUUAAAGACUUAAUCUGUGCUUCAUCACCAGACUUGUUCACACUGUUCAGUUCUGUGCAGAAGCUUGAUAUGGGAGCAGAAUGAAAUGACUUUUCAACCUACAAGAAAAAGAAGCAUAGACAAUGCAUGGGCACUUGUGUUCUUAAUGCCAACCAACUAGAUUGACAUAGGUUAAAAUUUUGAAAGGCUCAGUCUUCCCCAAAGCUACAUCAUCUUUAUAUUAAGAAUUAAAAAAAAAUUAAUAUGGACUUUUCUUAAUAAAAAUUGAGAAUUUAAUAUCUUUAGGGAUAGUCGUUACUUCUCACAACUAGUUCUCUAAGAGAGAUUCUGUUUCUACAAUGUAGUCUGCACUGAAAGGAAAAUAUGGAGCAGUGCAUUUUGCAGGGAUUUUUAUUCAUCCUUUUUGAGGGAGAUAUCCCUUUUUUGCAUUAAAAAAUCAUAUAGACCCAAUAUAUUUUUUAAUGUUUUCAAACUAAUGAAGUAAUUAUAUCCAUUAGUAAUGAUGAAAUACAUUUUUAAAAGCAUGUUUGUUACUUUUCGUUUGUAUGUUGAAUAUAUAGGUUCACUUCAGUAAGAGCAUAAAAGUUAUGAAAGGGAAUAUAUAACAGUACACAUAGGGAGUUCACAGCUUUUUCUUAAGAAGAAAAUCUCCACCCAUUUUGUUAGGAGCUGUACUUCCAAAACUAAUUGGGAAUAUGUGGGAGCAAACCUUUCUGCAUCUGAAUUGUGUAGUACAUCCUGACAUUUUCCAGUUCCGUAAGUCAGUUUAUAUAGUUCUGUGUUUUAGUCAGAAUUAUAACAUUCCAAUUCCUGCAGUCAUGUAACACUUCAUUUAAUAAGUUAAUUAUAUCCAAAGAUAAUAUGUAUGCUUUUCCUACCCAUUUAUUCAACUUAAAUGAUUUUCAAAAGCCCUUAACCUUAUAAUUAUUUAUUGAAUACAGUAAUAAAAAUGUUCUCCUUAAUUUAGUUUUGGGUAGAAGGCAUGGGCUCAGUUUAAUUUUAAUCUGUAUGAAAUAUGCAGUGCUUAGAUGAAAAAGAUCUUUUUUCAAAAUAAAAAGCCACUAUUUUAGAAGUUAUUUUUAAAAAUACAUUGCAAAAUAGGAUGCUUUCCUGUAGUAAGCAAAUAAGAACUAAGUAUGUAGGAAAUGAUUAAUAGGAUUAAUAGGAAAUGAUUAAUCUAACGUAUUAAUCUAAUACACUACGACUCUGGAAAAGUGUAAAUUAUUUGGUUUUAGAAAUCAACUCCUGAUAGCCAAUCACGUGGUGAUUUUAAAAACAAAGAUCGCUAAAUAAUAUAACAAAAGAAAGUCUUCGAUGUUUUAAUUCCUUAGCAAUAUACAGAAUACUUAAGUUUUAAAACAACUGUUGAUACAAACAGCACACCAAAGAAUGAGGCUAUUGGAAUAACAGAUAAUCUCAAUUUUAAAAAGGUAAAAAUUAGACUUUAAGAAGAAAUAAAGAUGUCUUAGACUUUGGGGGGUCAAUUUUUAGUAUACUUAUGAUUAUAUUUCCUAGCUAGAAGUCUUUAAAGUGAAUUUGGGGGAUCAAUUGUCAAUAUAAUAAACUGAUAUGUUAAAACAGUUUAUCCAAAUUAGCACAGCUUCAACUGUUUUGAAAGACUAUAUUUAAAGAUAAUAGACAUUUGAAUACAGUGAUCAGUUGACCCAAAACAGAUUUAACCAUCCCUCCGUUUUCAUAAAUUUGAAUUGUAAUACUAGGCCUACAAACAUUCCCAUUAGGAUUUUGUUUUGUUUUUAAUAGUUGGUAUUUGGUAGUCCACAACAAUUAAAGUCUUGGCAUUAACUUUACAUAUAUCAUAGAUUUAGAAGUGAUAGAAAAAUAUAACUUCAUGUUUCUCAACUUUUAGAAUCUGACAACAAAAAAACUUCAGUUCUAAAGUAGAUGUUAUUUUGUGGUUAGACUUCAGAACUUCUAAGUGGAAUCUGGUUUUGUGAUAGUGGAUUCUGUAAAACUUAAUGAGAGGCAUUAUCUAAUUGUAUUGAUACAUCAGUAUUUAAAAUCUGAUGGCAUUGAUUAAAGUCAGCCACUGAUGACUUUUCAAAUGACACAGGUAUAAGGAUGCUUAUAAAGUCUGAGUCUAAUGUUUUAUUAUCCUCUUAACUACAGUAUGUUUUAUAACUAUCAGUCAUUUACCAAACUAAUCUUCUUAGUCAAUUUCAGAAGAGACAGACUUUUUGAUCAAAAAAGAGAAAACAGUUUUAAAAGUACCUUUUUUUUUGUCAAGGUUAAGCCAAAGUAUAAUUUUAAAACAACUUCCAGGAAGCACAUAAUCUUUUCUUUUGAUAAAAAGUAAUAAAAUUUAAUGCAGAUCAAGACCAGGUCUUUAACCAAAACAACCAAAAGCUUUAGUUAUUUUACUUUCACAUCUCUAAUACACAGUAAACUAAAAUUAAUAUUCUUCCAUAUACUCAUGUUUCCUAACCAAACAGCUCUGGGUUUAUAAUAUAGCCAGAUGUCUUAAGUUUUUUUUCCCUUGUUAAAUUCAAGGGUAAUUGUUUCAUACAAUAACAGGGUACCUGUUUUAGAGUAUUAACAAACUGCUUAGAAGAAAAACCCCUAAAUGUGUAUGGCAGUAGUCAGUACCUAUAGGUGGUAAUGGCUCUUUCACCUUCCAGAUCUCUAGGGGUACCUCUAGCAUAUUGUUGGAGUAAGCAUUAAGAGAAAAGGCAUGUCUGUUAAGAUACAUUAUUAAAUAACUUGAAGCUUUCAAGUCAAAGAAAGAAAACUAAUAAUUGAAUCAGGAACAUUUGACUUAGUCUGUCAGGCAGGUGUCAAAAUCCAUAUCAACAACAACAACAAAAAUAAAUGGUAAUGAUCUUUGCUUUGGAAUCUCUAAUUUACGUCAUGUCCUAGGUCACAUGAUGAGUAUUAGGGAAGUGUAUUGAUUACCCAUCCUAUAAAGAGAUUAGUGAACUUCAACAUGUUUUAGAUAGUU